UUUCUCUCAGCUUGGUCUAUGGACUCUGAGCUUCUUCUUUUCUCUCAAUUCAGCUCAUCGAGCCACAAACGUUGAUCUAGACCCACUUUUUAGCCAUUUGAGCUUACUCUCCUCAUUUCCAGGCCCAUUCUCCAGCCAGUUGAGACUGAUUUUUGUCUCUCUAUAUCAUGUCUACUCUUCAAUGUGCUAAAAAAAGGGAUUUUGAAUCCACGUGUAGACUCAAGAACUCAGUUACAUGUGCAGGAGGGUGUUAGAGCACUUGUCUCUCAUCGAGUGUGUAAAAAAUUUCUAAAGGUUUUAUAAUGUACAGGGCCAUUGCACUCAUUAUCUUUAAGUUUCUGAAUUGGAUGCUCUGGUUAUUUGAUUCUUAUGUUAGUGCACUAGCUUUUGUAUUUUGACUUGCCAAGCUCUGCUGGUUGCUGAAGUUAAUCUUUCUCAGAGUGAAAUGAGAAAAAAAGAAGGUGAAUUAGCAUAACUCCUUCAGGCUUCCUCUUCCAUCCCAUUUUUCAACCAUAAACCUACUGAAGAACACUUUAGGGUACUCUGCUCAUACGGUCCUAGGUAGUUUUAAUAUAGAAAUAUAAGAAAGACGAGGUGGAGGAACGGAAGACUCUAGCAGUGUUGGUAGAGUCAAUGAAUUUGUUUCCUUAAGAUGCUGCUACAGAAAGUGCUGGGGGUGGGGGUGGGGGGAUUUAUUCCUGAUGUCCGGCAUAACUUUUGAGCCGUUGAAUGGAGUCAGAAACAAAACAAACAAAUUUCACAUCGUCUGCGCUGUUUAUCAGAUUCAGCAGGAUCUAAUGAUUUUCUGAUCAUCUGGAAGAUGAUUUCGUGCUUUGUGGCAUCAGCUUGAUAAGUUAUUCCAUCUAAACAAUAGUGCUUGUUCAUGGGUAUUUCAUCAUUCUAAGGAUGUAUGGAAGUCAAAACAAAUCUGACUGCUUCAACGGAAGAAAAGGAGAACGAUAAAAAACACCUUCAAGCAAGAUGUCGCAUUCUAGUACAUUGAGAGCAAAAUCUGCGACAAGAGUUAUUAAAGGGUUGAUGGGUUGACCAUGAUCUCUGCUAUGGUAGCCUCAGGGGACGUUUGCAUUGAUAAGACUUGAGAGUUUCUUCUGUUAAAAAGAUUGGUCCCGUGACUAUGGGGAGGAAGUGACCAGUGGCAUUUAGUCCUGAAACAAAAGUAGAGUGGGAAGUUGGCGACGCUUAUGCCUGAGCGACAAGAUCUUCCUCCUUGACAAGUUCUCCGUAGCCGUCAGAGAACAAGCAAUGAGUGCAAUGCUUGGAGAUGAUAUUUCCUGAAAUUAGUCUUGGUGGACCCCAUGGUUAUCAAAAAAGAAAAGAAAAGUGAGCCUCUUUUGAGAUUAUGAUUUUUUUCUUGAAGAAUAGUUGAGGACAAUUGUUCAGGGUAAAGAGACACCAAGGUAUCACACACUUCUUUACAAGUUUCACAUACAAAGUUUCGGUGAGAAUCAAGAACUAGUGGCGAAAAGGUGACAUUUAUCCAACUGGGUGUAAUAGUAUCAUAUUGGAUCCGUAAAUGACAUUCUUCAUGUGUAGUGAGUGGGCAAGGUAUUGAACCUUCAACCGACAAAAGAAGGUUCUGACUUGUCUCCAAGUUAGGUAAUUCAGAUACAUAGUUUCAAUAGGUAUGGAACCUUGAGGUUAUAGACUGGAGGAUUUGGAAGUCCAAGGGGGGACUAAGAGGGAGUGAGUCGAGUGGUGUUGGAGAAAGAUGAAGUCAUGGCUCUUAUACCAAGUUGGUUCGAGUAAAUGAUUUUCCAAGCUAAUUAAUCAACCAAGCAUUACAUGUAUCUCUUCCUAUAUUAUCUGCUUUUCCUCGCUCAAAUCAUAAGUCCAAAAAACCAGAGUUAAUGUUAUGACUCACAACGCUCAUCCCUUUCAGGGACACGUUAAAGGCAACAUCUUUUGCUGAUCAAUUGAAAAAUUGUCAAUAGUCAGUAUUGUUGGGCUGAUGUCAAACAAUCCUAUCUGUGUCAUGUCGAUGCAGUCGAUUCUGUUGUAAUUGCUUGCUUGGAUCUUGUACCCUCAACCAAACCAGUUUUCUUGUGGAGCCUCUGCCUAGGUAAAGCAAUGAUGUAUAUCAGAAACAGCAGGCAAAGUCCUGCUCAGGGCUUUGGUCAAGUGGCAAAGGUUAGGGGAGUUCGAGCCUUGCAUCAUGCGAACUAAGCCUGAUAUUUAAGUGGAGAUUGCGGUUGGUUCUAAGGGUUGGGCCCAGACCGAUUUAUCGGUCAUCAAGAAAAAGAUCCUGCUCAAUUAUUUGAUUUCCCUUUGCUUAUUUGUAUAUUUCUAAAUGUGUAGGAUGUUCAUCAGGAGCAAUCUGAUUAUAUUUUGUGUCAUGUAAUAAUUGAUGGGUUAUCCUGGCAAACCAUUUGAGAAGUAUCCCCUGGCUUGUAUUAUGACAUUGAUGGGGUUCAACAUGUAGAGUAACAGUAAAACUAAAUUAUAUGUUCUUGCAAGCAUUUUGUGAUACUUGUGGGGAAAAAAUGGUCAUCGGGGAAAGGUGAUUAGACACGAUAUGACAAACCUAGAGCUUACCAUGGAUAUGAUUCCUUAUUCAGAGGAUAUUGGGAUUGAACAUUAGUAGGUAGUCCAACAUUGUUUAGUUUCCUUAAUAGUAUUGUUAUUAUUGUUCUCCUAAUUUCGUAUUCUAGGAUUUUAUCAUUA